rnacentral:lncRNA from 12 species
GAAAGUGCAUAGGUGGGCUUCACCCCCCACCACCACCCCUGGCAGCAUAUUCCACUCUGAUCAUGACCCUAACUCAUUCCACAUUCUGGCCUUUGCAGGCAGUGCCAAUAAAAGAUGGAAUUGGGAGUUAGGAAUGGAGCAGACAGGAAAUGAGAAGAAAGAAAAAAAAUAAAGGAGCCUGCCAAGAUGGGAAGGAAUCGGCCUUCUCCCAGGCAAGAAGGUGGGCAUGUUCUGAAUAUAGACUCCUUAGCCUGUGUUAUGAACAGCAUCUCAUUUUGAGACCUACCAUCAAAGCUGCCAAGCACCCACCAAUGAAAAGAGCUAUAGCUACAGAGGGCAGCAGAACCAGAAUGGCCUGGCUUGGAGGGAUGGGAGAAGUCCCCCAAGAUGUCAGAAGCAGGGUAGUUAUGGUGAUUCUGUAAGUGGCAGAUAUCCAUAAGCCAAAUGCUCACAGAAUCCCAAGAAUAUAAGAAGACCAGAAGGAUCCUGGACAGAUGGUCCCCAACUUUCCCUAAAUAGCUUUGCUCAAUCUACCUUGGUCAUAAGUAAUCAAUGCUGUAAUCCCAGCCUCAACCCAAUGUAAUCUUUGGCCAUGAGAACUCUAAACCUGCACUGGCCCAGGCUUUGCUCCUCAGCAGUAUGUUCUGCUAAACCACCAAUUCCAAAGAUUGGUCACAAAUUCUUUGCAUCUCUUCCCAUAAAGUAGUAGAGUCUGUAUGUUUCAAUCUCUUGAAUUUGGCUUUGGCCAUGUGACUUGCUUUGGCCAAGAGAAUACAAGCAGAAACUUGCAAAGUGCCUGCUCAUGUGGGCUUCUCUUCUCUUACUGCUUUUAGAACAUAGCCCCCAAGGGCAUAACCCUGAGAUCAACCUGCUAGAAGCUGGACAAACAUGGCCCAGUGGCCUCCAUUACCAGAGCCAACCACCAGAUGCGCAAAUGAGGUCACUGGAGCCAACAGCCCCCAUGUGACCUGUCCCUCAGCUCUCUGGUUUGCUAAGCAAUAUAAAAUAAAAGGCGCUGUCAAACAUCUUCCCA